GAAAUGCGAUACGCAAUGCGAAUUGCAGAACCGUGAGUCAUCAGAUUUUUGAACGCAAGUGGCGGCAGCUUCGGCUGUCAUGUUUGUUUCAGUGUGCCCGGUUAAUUGCAUCAUAGAAUUUAAUGUGAUUGAAGUAAUUCUCUCACUUAGUAUGAGGUAAUGUCAGUUUACAUCACCAACCGAAGUAGUCACUAAUCUGUGAUAAUCGUUUGAGUGCUGGAAUUGGUCAAUCAUUGCCUAAAAUUUAUUAUCCAAUUAUGACACCUGAAAUAAGCAAGAGUACCCGCUGAACUUAA
rnacentral:misc_RNA from 1 species